CAGUCGCCACGGUAACACGAAGGGGGCUAGCGUUGUUCGGAAUCACUGGGCGUAAAGGGUGCGUAGGCGGAUUCUUAAGUCAGGGGUGAAAUCCCGAGGCUCAACCUCGGAACUGCCUUUGAUACUGGGGAUCUUGAGUCCGGAAGAGGUGAGUGGAACUGCGAGUGUAGAGGUGAAAUUCGUAGAUAUUCGCAAGAACACCGGUGGCGAAGGCGGCUCACUGGUCCGGAACUGACGCUGAGGCACGACAGCGUGGGGAGCAAACAGGAUUAGAUACCCCAGUAGUCCCUGUCUCUUAUAC
rnacentral:rRNA from 1 species